CAGUAGCCACGGUAAUACAGAGGGUGCGAGCGUUAAUCGGAUUUACUGGGCGUAAAGCGUGCGUAGGCGGCUUCUUAAGUCGGAUGUGAAAUCCCUGAGCUUAACUUAGGAAUUGCAUUCGAUACUGGGAAGCUAGAGUAUGGGAGAGGAUGGUAGAAUUCCAGGUGUAGCGGUGAAAUGCGUAGAGAUCUGGAGGAAUACCGAUGGCGAAGGCAUCCAUCUGGCCUAAUACUGACGCUGAGGUACGAAAGCAUGGGGAGCAAACAGGAUUAGAUACCCCCGUAGUCCCUGUCUCUUAUAC
rnacentral:rRNA from 1 species